rnacentral:lncRNA from 1 species
UGUUGUUCAUAUGAGCAUGAAUAUUGAAGCUAAAAUUUGGUGCCAUGCUUUUGGGAAAAUUCGGCCAAAACCAAAGGGUGGAUUUUUGGGUUCUUGUUUGACUUGUUAAAAGUGUUUUAAUGUGUUCUUUGGAACCCCUAAGUACCCUAGUUUGGUUAGAUGUUAUUUCCCUUAAGUAAGAAUGGUUUUGGAAUGUUUUUGGGUGAAAAAAGUUCAUGGAAAAUUUUGGGUUUUUCAUGGAUGUUCUUCAUUGUUCUUGAUGUUCUUGCCAAGAACAAAAAGGUUUGGUGUUUUGAUUCAAAGUUUUGAAUUAUUUCAUAAAGUUUAUGUGAUAUGUUUUUUAAAUGAUUUAUCAUGUAUUUAAAGUGUUAAAUAUUUGAUUAAAUGAUGAUAGAAAUAUCUAUCAUCAAAACAUAUAUUAUUUUUAUGAAAGGUGAUAAAAAUGGUGAUAAGAUUUUCUUAUCUUACACACCACUAGAUUGCCUUAUGCCAAAACUCACUAAUCAACACACACAUCACACUUAUCCCUUCCAAAACCGGCCACCCCUUCAAGUGGGGUACUUUUGGGGCUUUUAUGCAAUUACAUAAAGUUUUGAUACUUUUGUGUAUUUGCACUUUGGC